GACGAACGCUGGCGGCGUGCUUAACACAUGCAAGUCGAACGGAAAGGCCUGCUUUCCCUUGUGGAUUGCGGGUACUCGAGUGGCGAACGGGUGAGUAACACGUGAGUGAUCUGCCCCCAACUUGGGUAUAAGCCUGGGAAACUGGGUCUAAUUCCCGAUAGGACUGCAGGGUGGUGCCUGUGGUGGAAAACGAUUUUCUAGUGGUUGGGGAUGAGCUCGCGGCCUAUCAGCUUGUUGGUGGGGUAAUGGCCUACCAAGGCGGCGACGGGUAGCCGGCCUGAGAGGGUGGACGGCCAGAUUGGGACUGAGAUAUGGCCCAGACUCCUACGGGAGGCAGCAGUGGGGAAUAUUGCACAAUGGGCGGAAGCCUGAUGCAGCGACGCCGCGUGGGGGAUGACGGCCUUCGGGUUGUAAACUCCUUUCGACCGCGAGGAAGCCACCUGGUUGGAAGGGUGGUGACGGUAGUGGUAGAAGAAGCACCGGCUAACUACGUG
rnacentral:rRNA from 1 species